rnacentral:rRNA from 1 species
AGUGAACGCUGGCGGUAGGCCUAACACAUGCAAGUCGGACGAGUGGCGGACGGGUGAGUAAUGCAUCGGGAUCUACUCGGUGGAGGGGGAUAACGUCUGGAAACGUACGCUAAUACCGCAUACCAUCGGAUGAACCGAUAUGGGAUUAGCUAGUUGGUGGGGUAACGGCUCACCAAGGAGACGAUCCUUAGCUGGUCUGAGAGGAUGAUCAGCCACACUGGAACUGAGACACGGCCCAGACUCCUACGGGAGGCAGCAGUGGGGAAUAUUGCACAAUGGGCGCAAGCCUGAUGCAGCCAUUCCGCGUGUAUGAAGAAGGCCUUCGGGUUGUAAAGUCCUCUCGGUCGGGAAGCGUUACCCACAGAAGAAGCACCGGCUAACUCCGUGCCAGCAGCCGCGGUAAUUC